UUACGCUACGUAUAGUUACGAAAACGAUCAUACCGACGGUGGUGAACGUUUACUUCGCGUCGCAUUUUUAUCCGCGAUAUUAUCCAUCGGGAUUUUAUUCGUCACGUAUCAGAAUCGCCGAGAAUAUUUUACCUUUAUUUUUUUCUCUUUUCUCCUUUUAUCUCCCUCGAGAAAAUAAAUCAAAAUAUUAUCUAUAUUAAUAUAUAAUUAUAUACGCGUAAUUAUUAUACACACGUAAUUAUUUAAAGUGAAUAGUUUCAUACGAAUAACCUAUAAAAAGAAAAAGAAAAGAAGAAAAAAAAAAAAAGAAGAUGACCCGCGAUGACCCUUCAGAAACAUUGUCUUACAAAAUCCACUGUAUCAGAAGAAAAAUGAAGGAAGUAAGUUGGGUUGGAAAUGGCAGAAAAGAAACUUGGAACGAUACGUUCACCGCGAAAAGAAGAAUAAAAGGAAUAAGAGAAGAGAAAGAAAUAGAGGAGAGUAAGAGGAAGAAAGAGAAGGGGGUCGGAAGCAAGAAGAAGCACGACCUCGUGGGCCACGACGCGAGUCAGAAGUAUCGACGUUUCCGGAGUAUCGUCCAGCCGCUCAUCCGUUCGAAAACUUUCGAAUCACGAGCAGGCACGCCUUAGCAAGACACGAGUAUUACUUCGAGAAGCUCUCUUUCUCUUUCCCUCUAUCCAAUCUUUCCCUCUUUCGUUCUCUUUUCUUUCCGUCCCCUAUUUCUUCUUACCGAACUAAUACGAAAGUUUGACGGAGAGUAGUUGGGGAACAAAUAUUUCGUUGGAUCUUCCAAGUGCAAUAAACCGAGCCGACGAAGUAGCGAAGAAUGGUGAUACGUGCUUUUGGCGAACGGACUCGAUUAUUCGUGUGUGAGAACGAAAAAGAGAGAGAAAGAGAAAGAGAGAGAAAGAGAAAGAGAAAGA